rnacentral:rRNA from 1 species
CCUACGGGAGGCAGCAGUGGGGAAUAUUGCGCAAUGGGCGAAAGCCUGACGCAGCGACGCCGCGUGAGGGAUGAAGGUCUUCGGAUCGUAAACCUCUGUCAGCAGGGAAGAACGGUCACUGUGCUAAUCAGCACUGCAUUAACGGUACCUGCAAAGGAAGCACCGGCUAACGCCGGACCAGCAGCCGCGGUAAUACGGAGGGUGCGAGCGUUAAUCGGAAAUACUGGGCGUAAGGCGCUCGUAGGCGGUAUGUCACGUCAAGGGGGAAAUCCCCGAGCUCAACGGGGGAACUGCCUUUGAAACUGGCAGACUGGAGUGUGUGAGAGGAGAGUGGAAUGCGAGGUGUAGGAGUGAAAUCCGUAGAUA